rnacentral:rRNA from 1 species
AUUGAACGCUGGCGGCAGGCCUAACACAUGCAAGUCGAGCGGAUGAAGGGAGCUUGCUCCUGGCUUCAGCGGCGGACGGGCGAGUAAUGCCUAGGAAUCUGCCUGGUAGUGGGGGAUAACGUCCGGAAACGGGCGCUAAUACCGUAUACGCCCUGAGGGAGAAAGUGGGGGAUCUUCGGACCUCAUGCUAUCAGAUGAGUCUAGCUCGGAUUAGCUAGUUGGUGGGGUAAAGGCCUACCAAGGCGACGAUCCGUAACUGGUCUGAGAGGAUGAUCAGUCACACUGGAACUGAGACACGGUCCAGACUCCUACGGGAGGCAGCAGUGGGGAAUAUUGGACAAUGGGCGAAAGCCUGAUCCAGCCAUGCCGCGUGUGUGAAGAAGGUCUUCGGAUUGUAAAGCACUUUAAGUAGGGAGGAAGGGCAGUAAGUUAAUACCUUGCUGUUUUGACGGUACCAACAGAAUAAGCACCGGCUAACUACGUG